rnacentral:lncRNA from 1 species
CAGCCGCAUUACCCGCCUGGCUGCUCGCGAGUCUGCAGCCCGGGUUUCUGCGCUCGGGAGCCUGACAGCAGGGCAGGUGGGAACAGGUCUCCAAUGACUGUGGCUAGACGGAGCCCUUCUUCACUCUCCAGCGCUUCUCCCGUCAAAGACCCAGCCCCGGACCCACCCAGGGCGCCCGCACUCUCCUCAUAUGUAGAAAAGGGCAAGAAAACCAUGUUUUGGCCGGGCGCGGUGGCUCACACGUGUAAUCCCAGCACUUUGAGGGGCCGAGGCGGUCAGACCACUUGAGGUCAGGAGUUCGAGACCAGCCUGACCAAUAUGGUGAA